GGCCGCUCUGCAGAGGCAGCUUCAUUCACAGGCUGCUGCCAAAUGCUGUCAUCCUCCUUCCCAGGACACAGGGGAUCUCUACAGGACAGGCACGGAGUAUGGCGUCCAGAGACUACAGAAAGGAUGCUGGUUCUGCUCAUAAAAAGGGAAAACACUUCUGCAGCCGAGACUGAGCAGAAUGGGACGAGAGUCUCCCGUGCCAGGGUGAAUGACUUUUCAAACAAGAGCUCAAAGUUUAUUUGUGUGAAACUGGUAAAUAAUUUUUAAAACCUGAAAACA
rnacentral:lncRNA from 1 species